rnacentral:rRNA from 1 species
UAGUCUGGGAUACCACUUGGAAACAGGUGCUAAUACCGGAUAAGAAAGCGGAUCGCAUGAUCAGCUUUUAAAAGGCGGCGUAAGCUGUCGCUAUGGGAUGGCCCGCGGUGCAUUAGCUAGUUGGUAAGGUAAAGGCUUACCAAGGCGAUGAUGCAUAGCCGAGUUGAGAGACUGAUCGGCCACAUUGGGACUGAGACACGGCCCAAACUCCUACGGGAGGCAGCAGCA